rnacentral:rRNA from 1 species
GUAGUCUCGCACAGAUGCAUAUCAAUAAGCGGAGGAAAAGAAACUAACAAGGAUUCCCUUAGUAACGGCGAGUGAAGCGGGAAGAGCUCAAAUUUGAAAUCUUCAAGGUUUUACCUUGACGAAUUGUAGUUUAAAGAAGUGUUUUCUGUUGAAGUUUUGGUAAAAGUUCUUUGGAAUAGGACAUCAUAGAGGGUGAGAAUCCCGUAUUUGACCAUUAUUUUCAGCUGUGUGAUACACUUUCAAAGAGUCGGAUUGUUUGGGAAUGCAGUCCAAAAUGGGUGGUAAAUUUCAUCUAAAGCUAAAUAUUGGCGAGAGACCGAUAGCGAACAAGUACCGUGAGGGAAAGAUGAAAAGAACUUUGAAAAGAGAGUUAAACAGUACGUGAAAUUGUCAAAAGGGAAGCGUUUGACACCAGUGUUGUUUUCUCGAAAAUCAAUUAAAAAGAGUUAGAUUUUGUUGUGUAUUGACCUUAACAGCUUGCAUUUCAAUUUUCUUGCUUUUUUUAAUGCACUUUUCGUUUAACAAGUCAACAUCAGUUUCUUUUGUUGUAAAAAGGUCAUUGGUAAGGUGGCUUUCUUUUCGGAGAAAGUGUUUAUAGCCUUUGACUCCUGCAAUCGGAGAGACUGAGGUCUGCAGCGUAGAUCCUUCGGGGUUAGAUACAUUUGUGCUAAGUUAUAGCUUUUUAUAGACAACUUGUUGACUAUGAUUAGUCUUGUAGCUUACUCGCUUAUGCUAUUUUACCUACGCUUAGGAUGUUGAGCGCAUGUCUCUCUCU